GCCUGGCUGGCAUCAUGCAGAGGACCUUCGCCUGGCUGUUGGACCGCGUGCAGCACCUGGGUGCCCCUGUCACCCUUCGCGCCUCUUAUCUGGAGAUCUACAAUGAGCAGGUCUCAGCCGUCGAAGGAACUCAGCCCACACCCUGAACCAGGCCUCCAGCCGAAGCCAUGCCCUGCUCACCCUUUACAUCAGCCGUCAAACUGUCACUGCAUCUCCCUGCUGCUGGACCCACAGCGGAAGCAGAGCCACAUCCCUUUCCGGGACAGCAAGCUCACCAAGUUGCUGGCAGACUCACUGGGAGGGCGCGGGGUCACCCUCAUGGUGGCCUGCGUGUCCCCCUCAGCCCAGUGCCUUCCUGAGACUCUCAGCACCCUGCGAUAUGCAAGCCGAGCUCAGCGGGUCACCACCCGACCACAGGCCCCCAAGUCUCCUGUGGCAAAGCAGCCCCAGCGUUUGGAGACAGAGAUGCUGCAGCUCCAGGAGGAGAACCGUCGCCUGCAGUUCCAGCUGGACCAAAUGGACUGCAAGGGAAAGAAAAGAGCCAGCUGCAGAAUAGCCGAGACCUGGCCCAGAAUGAGCAGCGCAUCCUGGCCCAGCAGGUCCAUGCACUAGAGAGGCGUCUCCUCUCUGCCUGCUACCAUCACCAGCAGGGUCCUGGCCUGACCCCACCGUGUCCCUGCUUGAUGGCCCCAGCUCCCCCUUGCCAUGCACUGCCACCCCUCUACUCCUGCCCCU
rnacentral:lncRNA from 1 species